CACACACGCUAUCCUCUCACACGUGUCACCACAGAGACCUCCGGAGUGGGGGUGCCUGCCCUCUGUCUGUCCAUACAUUAUACAUUUCCUCAGCAUUCUCUCUGCAGAGACUUGGCCAGCUGUGCUUUAUGUGCUGAGAGGAGUGGCUCCUUCCAACCCUGGUGGCUUUGAACAAAUGCUUUACGGCUCCUAUAAAACACAUUCAGAGCGUACAGUUCAUCACUAAAAAAGUCCAUAUGAGCAGGGGCCUUUACUAUACAAUCACCUGGAUGUGUUGCAGGGAUCUACGAAGAUUGUCCCAGGGUGGUGGUGCAGCGGGGCUGCCGCUGUGUGUGUGUGCACCGGUGGCCUCCCUGGUCUUUGAUGUGGGAGUGGGCACAUUUGAAGUGCACAUAAGCACACAGCCAAGACAAAGCAGGAGUGGCUUCGGGAGAAGUCUCUGAAUGUCCUUGAGUGAACCAGCCAGACCCCAGACUUGAACCCGAUCGAUCGAACAUCUCUGGAGAUACCUGAAAAUAGAUGUUCAGCGACACUCCCCAUCCAACCUGACAGAGCUUGAGAGGAUCUGCAGCGAAUGGGAGAAACUCCCCAAAUACAGAUCUAUCCGCUGCCUUCGACACUGUGAACCAUCGGAUCCUCCACCGUCACAGAGCUGGGCAUCUCAGGCUUUGCACAAUGUUGGAUUGCAUCCUACCGGACAGGCCAGGUGACGUGGAAAGGAUCUGUGUCUGCACCACGUGCUCUCACCACUGCCUUGGCAGGUCCCUAAUAACAUUCAAAUACAAAUCCUCUGGUGUCCUUGAAAUUUUCCGAAUUGACUGACCAUGUCUAAAAGUAAUGAUGGACUGUCAUUUCUCUCUGCUUAUUUGAGCUGUUCUUGCCAUAAUAUGGACUUGAUCUUUUACCAAAUAGGGCUAUCUUCUGUAGACCACCCCUACCUUGUCACAACACAACUGAUUGGCUCAAAUGCAUUAAGAAGGAAAGAAAUUCCACAAAUGAACUUUUAACAAGGUACACCUAUUAAUUGAAAUGCAUUCCAGGUGACUACCUCAUGAAGCUGGUUGAGAGAAUGCCAAGAGUGUGCAAAGCUGUCACCAAGGCAAAGGGUGACUACUUUGAAGAAUCUCAAAUCUAAAAUAUACUUUUUUAGUUACUACAUGAUUCCAUGUGUUAUUUCAUAGUUUUGAUGUAUUCACUAUUAUUCUACAAUGUAGAAAAUAGUAAAAAAUAUAAAAAACUUGAAUGAGUAGGUCUCCCCAAACUUUUGACUGGUACUGUACUUAAGUAUAAAAAGUAAACGUAAUUGUAAAAAUAUACUUAAUUACAAAAAGUAAAAGUAUAAAUCAUUUCACAUUCCAUAUAUUAAGCAAACCAGAUGGCACUGUUUUCUUGUUAUUUAAAUGUAUGGAUAGCCAGGGGCACACCCCAACACUCAGACAUAAUUUACAAACAAAGCAUUUGUGUUUAGUGAGUCCGUCAGAUCAGAGGCAGUAGGGAUGUUAUCUUGAUUAGCGCAUGACCAUUUUCCUGCCAUGCUAACCAUUCGAAAUGUUUCAAGUACUUUUGGGUGUCAGGGAAACGUAUGAAGUAAAAAGUACAUUCUUGUCUUUAGGAAUGUACUGGAGUAAAAGUAAAAGUUGUCAAAAAUAUAAAUAGUAAAGUAAAAGUACAGAUACCCCAAAAAACUACUUAAGUAGUGCUUGAAAGUAUUUUUUACUGAAGUACUUUACACUACUGCCAUUCUGCCACCUCUGGUUUCUCCCCCUACGGGAGGUCAGCUCAGCCCAGUCAAAUCUAUUUUUCCAUCCUUGCACCUCAAAUGGUGGAACCAGCUUCCCCCGAAGCUAGGACAGCAGAGUCCCUGCCCCCUUCCGAAAACAUCUAAAAAGCCUACCUCUUCAAAGAGAAUCUUAAAUCAUCUUAAAUAAUCCCACAACCCAUGAAAAAUGAUUAAAAUAACACCCUUGCUUUUCCUGACCUAACACUUGCACUUGAUAAUCUGAGAAGAUCCUUGUAUGUCCCUCUCACUGUAAUAAGGAUGGUUUGUCCACCAACACCAACUCUAUAAUAAAGGAUAGUCAACCGGCAAGACAAAAUGAGGAAGGCUAACAUACAACAGCACGAUGAGAUGGGAACACUGCAAAUACACUGACCACAACCACAGGCCUGUUAACACAGAAGCCUAGGUGUCAAGUGAUGUACACGCUUUCCUUGACAGGAAUGAUAAAGUGUGACAACAGUUAAGAAAUAAGAUGGUAAAAUAGGAAGUACAAAGUGCCACAUCUCAGCUGCUCUGCACACACUGUUACUGUAAACAUUAUUGAGUGCCAUGCUUCCAAGCGUAAUUUACAAAGCAUAGCUGAAUGUGAUAUGCAAAGCAUAAACUGUGCCUCACAAACCAAGGACUCAAUGAAAAAAGCUAAGUCCUGGCACUCUUACUGGCAAGUGUUUAUUCACAAAAUCAUCAGCAUCUGUUUAUUUUUAAAACGGGGGUGGUAGGAGAUUUAUUUCACGUUAGUAUUGUUUUAAAUGGACAUUGUUGCGAGUGAACACAAAGGUUUGAAUGGGUCAGAACACUACUCCCAGCCAUUCUCCAUUGUUCCCAGCCAGGACCUUGCCUUUGGCUGCUUCCCUAGGGGGGCUCGGCCCCAGCACCACAGCAGCGCAUUGAAAAGUUAUUCAUAGAGCCAGCACUCCGCGCGUGAGGCGAGCUCUAACUGCACCGUUCCCCCAAUUUAUGAUCUCUUAGCCCUUUAAAGGUUGAUUUAAUAUUUGCCUGAGAGGUUUUGGACGGCAUCCCAUUAGUUAGAAGGGGAAAAAAGAAAAAGGAGGUUGUUUUGCUAACCUUUAAUGCACUUGUACAUGAACUGUGUCCAACAAUAAGUAAAAUAUUUAUUGGGCAGGGUGAGUCAUUGGCGUGCUUACUGAGAGGGGAAGAGAGGAGAGGUCAGCGGCUCAGCGCCCAGCACUCUGUGUCUGUCAGCGGUCAGAAAGCCCCCACACAGGAGUGACCGGCCCCGUCAUUAGCCCCGUUUCCUAAUGGAUCCCAUCUGAGAACUAAUUUGUUGGAAUGACGAAUGGCGUAGACAAUAUAUUUUAGGAAGGGGGCUAAAUGACUUUUCCAACUGCAGCACGCAUCUAGAUUAGGGUCAGAUUAGAGACACUCUACAAAGAGAAUGAGGUAGUGUGUUGGCCAGACAGAGGUGUCUGGAUGAAGUAGCCUACUUGGGGUUUUACCAUUAGAACGGGUCAGAAUAUCUCAUUCAUGCAUUAUUUCUCUCUGACUGUUUGGUGUCCUUCUGUUUGUGUAUUUUGCAUUAUUAAAAGAUACAAUCUCAGACAAAGCUCUCAGAUAGCCAUGCCA